rnacentral:rRNA from 1 species
UAGGGAAUCUUCGGCAAUGGACGAAAGCCUGACCGAGCAACGCCGCGUGAGUGAAGAAGGUUUUCGGAUCGUAAAACUCUGUUGUUAGAGAAGAACAAGGACGUUAGUAACUGAACGUCCCCUGACGGUAUCUAACCAGAAAGCCACGGCUAACUACGUGCCAGCAGCCGCGGUAAUACGUAGGUGGCAAGCGUUGUCCGGAUUUAUUGGGCGUAAAGCGAGCGCAGGCGGUUUCUUAAGUCUGAUGUGAAAGCCCCCGGCUCAACCGGGGAGGGUCAUUGGAAACUGGGAGACUUGAGUGCAGAAGAGGAGAGUGGAAUUCCGUGUGUAGCGGUGAAAUGCGUAGAUAUAUGGAGGAACACCAGUGGCGAAGGCGGCUCUCUGGUCUGUAACUGACGCUGAGGCUCGAAAGCGUGGGGAGCAAACAGG